rnacentral:lncRNA from 1 species
AUUGUUCUACACCGCCAAGGCAAUUGAACACCCCAACCUACGCUUCUCCACCUUACUAAACACAGGAAACAACUGUAGUACUCUAUUCGUCACCAACUGCAGUCUUUAUCGUGCAACUCGCAAUCAUGGUUUUGGCGUCGUGCUGCUGUCGAGUGUUCUAUCGUUGAUAGUGAGUCGACCACUGGUGUACCGAACUCCACCGAGGCUGGGUGAGAACUACACGUGUUUUAUCACUAUCAAGUGGUUGCAAUAGCCGUAAGGCUUAAGAGGUGAAACAAGAUGAGCAAAAGUCGUAUAUAAAGAGAGGAAAAGGCAAAGGAGAUCAGUCGAGUGAGUAUCUCCGACCCGGCAACAACUGCAGCACAAUAUUUGUAAUCCACUGGACAACUGCAUUCUUCCAAUUCUCAUUCAUGGUUAACAAUGGCGUCGUUCUACCGUUGGUUAUCGUUUAUUGCCGAGUCGACCACUGUUGUACCGAUGUCUCAUGGGUAUGGAGGAUACCAAACCGCAACGUCGCCGCCUAACUACACAACAAAAUACGCAACAACCAGUUACUACACCGAGGCCCAAAAGUACUACUCCGAUCCCAGCUACUAUUCCGAGGC